rnacentral:lncRNA from 1 species
CCGUACCUUACUUUGGUACCUAAAAGAACCACUUCAUUUCUUGAAAUAAAAAUUUAAAAUAAGCUUCUAUAGUAUUAAGGUGUCAAAUAGGCAUUUAAAAAAAAUAGUUUUAACAGGGGAGGGUGAGAUCUAAGAAACAAUGCGGGAAAGGAGAAUUUAGACAUUUUAAAAAAAAUGAAUUUUCAAUAGGGGAGGGUAACAUUUAAGAGGGGGAAUUUAGACAUUUAAAAAAAAUAAUUUCCAAUAGGGAAGGGUGAGAUUCAAGAAGUGAUAACGAAAAAAGGAAUUUUGAACCAAUGAUCUCUGGGGAAAAUAAGAAAAUUUCCCCCUCCUUGUUAUAAAUGACACUUAAUGGUGACUAUGAUAUGAAUUAUGAAGCACUAAAUUCAACAGCUAAAUAAGAAGACUUCGACAAAAGUGAAAAUACUUUUCCCUGAUUAAAAUGGUUUCCCUACAAUUUAUCAACACAUUUCUUUUAAUCAGUUUGGAAUGAAAGAGAAGCAUGUAGAACAUACAUCUCGUCUGCAACAUUUUUGCUUUUGUCCUAUACUGAUCAUCUCUGAGCUGCCAAUGAAAAGUUCAACUGCCAUGGAGUAUUUGUGGGUCUGCAAGAUCACAGGUUGAUUCUGUCUUGGGCUCUAGUCCAAUGGCCACCAGCUGCCUGGUUGGCUACGGUUCAAGAUGCCCUCACAGGGUGCAUCACAGAGGAGCAUCUAUGGAGUCUUACAGGAAUAGUAAGGGAUUUAUAGGAUGCAUCCAAGGCUGCAAUAGCUGGUGUGGACGCCAGGAAUCGAAUCCUAAUGUUCUUGCUGGGAGCAUUAGUAGGUGUGCCAGAUAUUAAGGACCAAUUUAGAGAUGGAAGGGAAAAUUAUAAGCAGACAGAAGCCUGCACUUGUAAUACUGCACCUCUUGUUUGG